UAAUACAGAGGGUGCAAGCGUUGUCCGGAAUCACUGGGCGUAAAGGGCGCGUAGGCGGCCGGGUAAGUAGGGGGUGAAAUCUCAUGGCUCAACUGUGAGGCUGCCUCCUAGACUGCUUGGCUUGAGCAUGGUAGAGGCUGGUGGAAUUCCCGGUGUAGCGGUGGAAUGCGUAGAGAUCGGGAAGAACAUCGGUGGCGAAGGCGGCCAGCUGGGCCAUUGCUGACGCUGAGGCGCGAAAGCGUGGGGAGCAAACAGGAUUAGAUACCCUGGUAGUCCACGCUGUAAACGAUGGGUACUAGGCGUCGGGGGGAGCGACCCCUUCGGUGCCGUCGCUAACGCAAUAAGUACCCCGCCUGGGGAGUACGGUCGCAAGACUG
rnacentral:rRNA from 1 species